rfam:Gorilla gorilla gorilla genomic chromosome, chr19, whole genome shotgun sequence
GUUUCCAUGGUGUAAUGGUGAGCACUCUGGACUCUGAAUCCAGAAAUACAUUCAAAGAAUUAAGAACA